AUUGAACGCUGGCGGAAUGCUUUACACAUGCAAGUCGAACGGCAGCACGGACUUCGGUCUGGUGGCGAGUGGCGAACGGGUGAGUAAUACAUCGGAACGUGCCCAGUCGUGGGGGAUAACGUAGCGAAAGCUACGCUAAUACCGCAUACGAUCUACGGAUGAAAGCGGGGGAUCGCAAGACCUCGCGCGAUUGGAGCGGCCGAUGGCAGAUUAGGUAGUUGGUGGGGUAAAGGCUCACCAAGCCGACGAUCUGUAGCUGGUCUGAGAGGACGACCAGCCACACUGGGACUGAGACACGGCCCAGAGUCCUACGGGAGGCAGCAGUGGGGAAUUUUGGACAAUGGGCGCAAGCCUGAUCCAGCCAUUCCGCGUGCAGGAUGAAGGCCCUCGGGUUGUAAACUGCUUUUGUACGGAACGAAAAGGCUCUGGUUAAUACCCGGGGCUCAUGACGGUACCGUAAGAAUAAGCACCGGCUAACUACGUGCCAGCCGCCGCCGUAA
rnacentral:rRNA from 1 species